CAAGUUGUAAUCAGCAGGAGCUUGAGACCCUCAACUGAGUCCUCUCUUUCCCCACAAGACCUUUGAGUCUGUCAGCUGACCGGCAGACUCAGUGGAACAGUUUGAAGACCACUGACAACCUGACGUGGCCUGGUGGAAAUCCAUGGAAAAUUGCUUGUGAAGCAAAAUGGACCCAGGAAAACCCCACUUGGACUCCUCAAGGCAAUGAAACCUGAAGCCACCACUCGGGUGAUGGUAACCUGACCACCAAGGCCCUUUGAGUUAAAACCCCUGACUUGCACCUGCACAGAUGGACCAUGGAGUGACCACCUCACCACACCCAUGACCAGAAUUGCCUUUAGCCUAUUUUAAUACUAAAAUCUCCGCUCCGGACCUCAGCCUUAUUUACAUAACAUACAAUGUAUGUAUAGGCAUGUUUCCUUAAAGUGCAUGUGUGACCUUAUGGCCUCCUUUACAUAUGAUGACAAAUAUUCAUCCUAACUCCAAACAAAAGGCACCCAUUAACCCUCUCUCGGGGAGUCACCACUUUGGAAGCCAUUCCCUGUGAUCUUCUUACUUGCUGCAAAUAAAGUUUUCUUUGUACAACAGA